AGUGAACGCUGGCGGUAGGCCUAACACAUGCAAGUCGAACGGCAGCACAGUAAGAGCUUGCUCUUACGGGUGGCGAGUGGCGGACGGGUGAGGAAUACAUCGGAAUUUACUUUUUCGUGGGGGAUAACGUAGGGAAACUUACGCUAUUACCGCAUACGACCUUCGGGGGAAAGCAGAGGAUCUUCGGAUCUUUUGCGAUAGAAUGAGCCGUGGUCGUAUUAGCUAGUAGGCGGGGUAAAGGCCCACCAAGGCGACGAUCCAUAGCUGGUCUGAGAGGAUGAUCAGCCACACUGGAACUGAGACACGGUCCAGACUCCUACGGGAGGCAGCAGUGGGGAAUAUUGGACAAAGGGCGCAAGCCUGAUCCAGCCAUACCGCGUGGGUGAAGAAGGACUUCGGGUUGUAAAGCCCUUUUGUUGGGAAAGAAAAGCAGCAGGUUAAUACCCCGCUGUUCUGACGGUACCCAAAGAAUAAGCACCGGCUAACUUCGUG
rnacentral:rRNA from 1 species